GCACCCAUAGCUCAAUUGGAUAGAGCAUCGGUCUACGGAACCGAAGGUUAUCCGUUCGAAUCGGAUUGGGUGUA
rnacentral:tRNA from 2 species